GUGAGGAAUAUUGCAAAUGGGCGAAAGCCUGAUGUAGCAACGCCGCGUGUGCGAUGAAGGUCUUCGGAUUGUAAAGCACUUUUUGGAGGGAUGAGGAAGGACAGUACCUCCAGAAUAAGCCUCGGCUAACUACGUGCCAGCAGCCGCGGUAACACGUAGGAGGCAAGCGUUAUUCGGAUUUACUGGGCGUAAAGCGCGUGCAGGCGGUUUGGAAAGUUGGAUGUGAAAGCUCCUGGCUCAACUGGGAGAGGUCGUUCAAUACUUCCAGACUUGAGAGUGGUAGAGGGAGGUGGAAUUCCGGGUGUAGUGGUGAAAUGCGUAGAUAUCCGGAGGAACACCAGUGGCGAAAGCGGCCUCCUGGACCACUUCUGACGCUCAGACGCGAAAGCUAGGGUAGCAAACGGGAUUAGAUACCCGGGUAGUCC
rnacentral:rRNA from 1 species